GCCGGCAUAGCUUAGUGGUAGAGCGUUGCACUUGUAUCCACGAUAUGCAAAGGUCGCUUGUUCGAGUCAGGCUGUUGGCA
rnacentral:tRNA from 1 species